AGAUUAUAGUGGCGAUGAAGCAGGAGAGGAUGAAGUUGACGAAGAAGAUGACGAGGAUGAUAAUGAUGAACCAGARGAGUGGGGAAAGUUCUUGCAUUUGAAAGAAAAAAAAUUUAUAGAUUUUGACGAUAUACGAGAUGAAAUUGAGAGGGAAACUGAACGAGUAACAGGAAGCAACAAGGGCAUUUCUAAUGAACCUAUCAAUUUGAAGAUCUAUUCCCCUAAAGUUGUAAACCUGACGUUGGUUGAUUUACCAGGGGUUACUAAGGUACCAGUUGGCGAUCAACCUCAUGACAUAGAGCAACAGAUUAGGCUUCUUAUUUUACAAUAUAUCAGGAACCCUAACUCUAUAAUCCUUGCUGUCUCACC